GGCAACCAGUGAGGAGCAAAGUCAUAGAUGAGCCAGUUGACAUCGGAGUUCUGUAGAAACUCAGUGAGAGGGAGUUGGAGCUGGUCGUAGGCUCGUUUCAGAUUCGGGAAUAGGUGGAAUGGCAACUCGGAGGUGGACUCGGCGGAGUCGGGCAAGCCAUGGACGGCAGGCAGAGGCAGUGGCAGUCGUACCAUGGUUACAAGUGAGGAUAAAUUUGGAAUUUGAGAGAGGCGACGAAGGUUUUUAGGGGUGGAGAGGAAGGAAAUGCGGUGACCCCUUUGAACUAAGUGGCUGGAGAGAUGAAGAAAAGGUAAGAAGUGGCCAAAGGCCAGCCAUGGGAACACAGCUAUGUGAAGCUUCUGAUGCUCUUUCUUCAUCUCAUCCAUGGCAAUGGAGUUGUGAGUUGUGAGAGAAAUGAUCAAGAUUCAAAACUUUGGGUAGAGCAGUGAUGUGAAGUUGCAGAAAGAGUUGUCGACUUGUGCUCAUCAUCAAAGGAGCAGCGCACCAUGGAUGGAUGUCCCGCUGUACUUUUAUUGGACCCUUAUCGUUAAAUCCUAUCACUCAUCCCCGCAAUGGUAAGCCAAGGGGAAAAAGUGUGUUUUGGUGAGAGGGUUUUGAAAAAAGAAAGAAAAAGGAAGAUAAAAUCCUUUAAAAAAUAAUUAAAAUUUUCAUUUCAUCAUCUCUCCUGUUAAACAAAUAUUCGAUUUUUAUAUUAAAAUAUAAAAAAUUUGAUUUAAUUAAAAUUUUAUUUUCAAAUUAUUUAAUCUUUACAUCAGAUAAUUAAAAUAAGUUAAAUGACUUUUAAAUAACAUAUGAAAAUAAUUUAUUAAUUAAAUUUUUUUUUUCUUCCAAUUUUUUCUUCUUAGAGACACAACUUUUCCCAUGAGAAAAGGUAGGAUCUUAAUUAUUGAGCGUGGCGGUGAGAUUUUGAAAUGAAAAUUGAUGGUCCUUGGAAACUAUUACCCGACUUGAAAUAGUUUUCUAUAUGCUAAAAUGAUUAAAUGAAAUAAUUUUUUUUGAGAUUUUAAAAAAAAAUAUAUAUUGUUUUUGGGAAUAAAAUUGAGAUAUCUUCAAUUAUAUUUUAAAAGUGUUUCAAAAAAUAAUUUACAAGAAUUAAUUUUUUUUUACAUUAUACAUUAUGUGCACAAAAUUCAUGAAAAAUAAUUAAAUUUUUUUUUUUCAAUGUUUUCAGAAUUGGAUUAAUCAUUAAAUUGAAAAGUUAUGGAUUUAUGGUUCAAUAGUUUGAUUGAUAGUUAAAUCGCGAUUGAACUGGUGAUGUAAUAAAUAUAUAAUUUAUAUAUUAUAUAAAAUUAAAAUUAUUUAUAAAAUUUAAUAUUAAAAAAUAAUAAUAAUUCAUUUUUAUAUAAUUCAUUUUAUCAAAUUAAAUUGGUAAUAAUAAAUAUAAAUAUAUUAAUAUUUUAAAUUUUAUUAAUUAAAAUAAUACACAUAUAAUAUUUUAAAGAAAAAUUAUAUGUUUAAAAUUGUAUAUUUUUUAUUUUAUAAUAUUUAAAAACAUUAUAUUAUUCUCAUAAAUAUUAUUAUAUAAUAAGUAUAAUUAUUUAAGGGUUUUAAAUAAUAAAAAUUUGAAAGAAGCAUUACUUUCCAAAUCCCAAUAGUCUAACAAUGCUUUUGAUAAGUUGGAGGUCCGAGGGUGAGUCCUCAGACAAACAGAAAAAAAAAAAAAAAGCUCAUGGAUCAUAAGCAAUAGGGCCUAUGAGGCUUGGCUUGGAUGGAAUAAUUAGAUAAUUCAAAAAUUAAGUUUAUUCUAUUAAUGUUUCCAUAAAUUACAAUAUUAUUAGAGAAAUUUUCAUGUGUGACAAAAUAAUAUUGUUAGAAUCACUUUAAAAAAUUCAAAACUAUAUUAUGAAAAAAAAAAAAAAAAAACAAUUAUGCCACUGUAAACCUCAUUUUUUUGUGUAGUUUUUUUAUUAUUUUUGUAGCACUUUGCUGUCAGCGUGUUUUAGAGUGGGGGACGACUGUGAGUUACAUGCAUGGGACAUGUGCCAAGACACCACCACCUUGCCAUGGUGGUAGUUGAGAUGGGGACUCCUUUUGAACAGAUGACAGAGGAGUGGGUGGUGAGCAGUAAAAUUGGUGAAGACUGGAGGUGAAAGAAAAACAGAGCAUGGGUGGGCUGUUUUGAGGGGGUACCAGCUAUGAAGAAGGGAGGGAGAAAAACGAGCAGCGGAGGGGGAUUUUUCUGGGAGAAAAAUCUGGAGAGUGGGUGCUGGGUUUUUGUGGCAGCUGAGGGAUUUUAGAAAGAAAAAGAAGAAGAGAGGUGAGCUGAAAUUUGGGGGGGCGGUGGGGGAACGCGUCUGAAAAUAGAGCAAGAGGAGAGGUGGAGUGAAAACGGGGAGAACGGUUUUUUUGAAAGAAAACAGAGCAAGAGGAAGGUUGUCCACGGGUGAGCGGUUUUUGAGGGAGGCGCCUGAAAACAGAGCAAGGGGAGAGCUGGAAGGAGAAACGGAGGACGUUUUUUUUAAGGAAAAAACAGGCAGCAACUGGAGAGAGAGAUCUAGGAGAAAAACGGAGCACUUGAAGCCAAGUGUGCUUGGCUCAAGAGGAGACACCCAUGUUCAUUGUGAACCGUGUAUUUUCUUAUUUUUGGAUGCCAUUUUACCUGAUGUCUCUGUUAACUUUUGGGUCGUUCUUGCUGGUCCUUCCAUGUUCGUUUCCUUGGCUUACCUUGAAAACUGGUGAGGUUUUUUUUAUCAUGUUCAUUGCGGGGCAUUCUGAAGAUCAACGCAUUUGCUCUACUGGGUGUCAUAUCUGCAUUGUAUUUGUUUUUGGCUUUUGCCUAUUCUGUUCUUCUUUGCAACAUACAUAUAUAUAUAUAUAUAAAAUGAAAGAUAUGGUAGUGUGCUCGAUGGGAGUGAACAGAGUAGGGCAGUCCCACAUAGAUUUUGUUGGGGAACGGAUUUAAAAGUAUGGAAAUCACACCCCUUUUUUUUAGGUUUCUAGGAUUUUUGAGUUUCGGGCUAGGUGGGUUUCUUCUUUUGGUUGGUUUUGCCACUCCAAAUGGCUCUCGUUCCACACUUUUUGAUUCACGUUCAGCAUUUCUCUACUUAGGCCUAUGUUUGGUGGCUGGGAAUUUAUAAGAAACUGAUUUUAGGAUCUGGGUAUUUGGUUAUAUGAGAUGAUCUUAAGAACUGUUUGAGGUUUCUACAAACUGCCUUGCAUUUUCAUAUUAUAAACCCAACACCUCUGGUUUGUUGGAAAUGAGUUUGAAAAAAUAAUAAUUGAGCAACUUGGGGCUUAAUUAAAAGUGUGACCCACAUUCCGAAAAUGUCGGGACCAUGCACCAACGCGUUCUCCUCCGUAAGAGUAUAACGUGGUAUAUUUAUUUGUUCAAAUCCAUUAAGUAUUGAAUGAGAAAAUUGACUCCAAAGUCACCCACUUGAAAUUAUAUAUUUAAGGAAACUUGGUAUAAACUUACCAUAAACACUUUAUCCCACGUAGGAAGGAAGUGUGAGGGGAAUGUGAAGAGUUUAUAUAUUGAAUUUUUGCACUAUAGGAACGGCCCAAGGGGCACCCUAAGUUUGUAAAGGGGAGGACCUACAUGGGUGUAGGCUUGUGUGGGUUUAACCCACACGGGCGCAGCCGCCCGGGCCCAUGGGUCUUGGGCUUGGGCUUGCUAUAUAUAUAUAUAAUUUUUGGGCAAAAAUCAUUUAAGUUUCUGGGUCGGGGUUAUCCGUUGGCUUUUCAUAAUUAAGAUUCAUUGUUAGAGUGUGCCUAUUCCGAACAGGUUCAUGACUAUUCCAAACAGGUACGUGUCUAUUCCGAAUAGGUUUAUACCUAUUCUAAACAGACACUAGGAAGUCUAUAAAUAGACUUUCUACCUCGGCAUUAAUAAAAUAAAAAAAAAAUUCAAUCAAUUCCUGCAUAUUUCUCUCUCUCCUCUUUGCAUCCUUUGUCAGUUCGAGUACAAAAUACAAGUUGUGUUCGUGGUGUUCUACAGAUUGAAGUGCUGCUUUUGUAGAACUGAAAAUCCGUUCUAUCUUGGGAGACAUUUAUUCACUACUUGAGCACCAGAGAGGGAAUAAAAUUGUCUUAAAGAAACAGUGUUGUCAUUGGGCUCGAAUUCAUAGAAUUAAAGUAAGUUCUGUAAUUUCAUUUAUUUUAUUUACAUACUUAUUUAAUGUUUACUUAAAGUAUAAACUGUAAAAAGAUUUUAUUGUUAACAUGGUUUGCUUUUUGCAUCUACUCCCCUUCAUUUUUAUGUAAUUCACCAUUCUCUUCCUCUACAAAGAAUCAAACAUGGCAUUCACAAUUUGAAAAGCUUGACCCAUCAAAAACAAUACAUCGAGGCCCUCAAACGCACCACACAAGAGCCACGUGUCAUCCUUUUUCUUUUUUCUUUUUCCUUCUUUUGAUAUUAAAAUUUUAUUUAUUUUUUAUUUUUUAUUUCUCCAUUCUCCAAUAAUUCAUCAAAAUUCCAAUUUUUAAAUUUAAUUUUCAAGAUUUUAAUUUUAAUUUAAUUUUCAAAACUCCAAUUUUUAAGUUUAAUUUUCAAAACUUCAAUUUUUAAAUCUAAUUUUCAAAAAUCUAAUUUUCCAAACUUUAAUUUUCAAAUUUAAAUUUUAAAAUUUCAAAUUUUAAAUAAUUUUCCAAAACUUCAAUUUUCAAAAUUCUCAAAUUCAUUUAUUUAAUAAUAAUAAUAAUAAUUAUUAUUAUUAUAUUUAUUUAUUUAUUUUUUAAAUUCCACUAUCAAAUAAUUCUUCAAAAUUCCAUUUUCUUAAAUUUAGUUUUCAAACUUCCAUUUUAAAAAUUUUUUGAAAUUUCGAUUAUUAAAUUUAAUUUUUUAAACUUCCAUUUUUAAUUAAUUAUUCAAAUUUUAAUUUUCACAUUUAUUUAUUUAAUUAUUGCUAUUAUUAUUAUUUUAUUUUAUUUUUUUAUUUUUAAAUUACAUUCUCAAAUAAUUCUUCAAAUUUUCAUUUUUUUUAAAUUUAAUCUUCAAGAUUUCCAUUUUCAAAUAAUUCUUUUUUAAAAUUUCAAAUAAUUUCAGAACUUUAAUUUUCUUUCAAAUAAUCUUAAUUUCACUCCAAUUUUCAAAUAUUUUUUUAAUUAACCACUUUUUAUCCUUACUAAAAAUUCUAUUUUUAAAUAAACUUGCUAUAUUUCCUUUCAGGGAAGCACCAUAAAUUUUCUUCGAUUUUAAAAUAAUUUUCCGUUUUUCUUGAUUUCUAACAAGCAUGAAGACAAUUUUCAUAAUUCCAAAAUAAUGGAAUUUGUGGGAUUAAUUUAUACAAAAUCAAUUGGGCUUUGGUGGGGCCCAACAUUCAUAACAUUUGUUUUUAAAAUAAUUUAAGUGAAUUGUAUAGUUAAUAUUGUUUGAUUUUGAUUGGUUUUAUGUGAAAUAUUUUACACUUAUCAUUGUACACCAACCUUGUUUCAUGAUAACACUUUAUUAUAUGUUGUCAAGCUACGAUCUUAUUCCUACUUUGCUUAUUCCUAUGCAUGAUUCGUUUUAUUAUUUGAUCUAUGAUCAUUUUGAUAUUUGUUGAUUUCUUUAUCAAUUAUCACACUUACUUCACCUUAUUUAGUAGAAACCAAUUUUUAAGAGCUUAGAGGAUCCUACGAUUUUUAUCGUACAUUUCCAAUAAGUAAUCUGAUCUUACCUUCAAAUUCUGAUAUUAUCUUCAAUUAGACAAUUUUUCUUAAAACUUCACUAAGAAACACAAUAUCAAAUUUGCUUAUUAUACGUUCUCCUUAUAUACCUCAAAAACCUAAGGGUUCCUUUGUUAGGUUUGUCCAUGAAAGGUGAGUCAAAGCCUAAGAUCAAGUCGAAAGGCAUAGUUGAUGGGUAAUAAGUGAAUAUUCUUGUAUUAUCCCUUGUUAGUCUCGAAAAAUCGAAAAGCAACCCCAUUUUUCACCUUAAAUUAAUCAAAAUAAGUAAAAUUUCUUGCUUUUUGUAAAUGAGUAGAUUUAAUAACUAGGGGUCUAUGGCUAACUGAUAUAAAAUAAUUUAAAUAAAAAAUAUACAAAAUCUAAUCAUUAAUAACCCUGAAUUAAAAUUAAGAAAAUUAUCUUCAAAAGAAUAUGUGCUAAUAGCAUAUUAUAAAAUAAUGAGUAAACUAAAAAUAAAAGAAAGUAAAAAAAAAAGAAGAUGGAGAGAAUUUGAGACGAUGUUUUUUUAGAGAAGGAUGUUAAUACGUGGAUGGAACAAUGCUUUUAUAAGCUUACGUAAAGAAAAAGUAGAUAUCUCCAUUAACUUACUGUUAAUAGAUCAAGUAGAUUUAGUUACUACUGAGUCAUUUUCAAGCACCCGAGUGAACUCAUCUAAAUAUUUGGUUUGCAACUUCACAUUUCCAAAGAUUUCCCUCAUUGCCCAUGCAUUUCUCCUAAGUUGCUCUCCUUCUUCUUCCACCAUAACUCGUUUUAUUGACUUACUCACUGAGUCGCCUGUAAAUGAUCCAUCUCGCUUGUCCCUCGGUACUUCCAACCCGACUCGCUUGCCUUCAAGGAGUCUUGCCACCAACCCCAGAUCUGAAGAAGGCCCGGGGAAAAGAAUCAGCACCCGACCCAACCCGAGAGCCUCGAUCACGGAGCUCCAUCCACAGUGGGUCAAGAAUCCACGAACUGAUGGGUGAGCCAAGAUUUGCUUUUGUGGAGCCCAAUUGGCCCAAACUAAACCACGACCUGAAACCCGACCCUCAAACCCGGUUAUAAUCGGAUCAUCUUUGGUUUUAACCACCCAAAUGAAGGGUAAGCCGGAUUUCUCUAUUCCAGAUGCCAACUCGUUCAUUUCGUCCUGACUCAGAGUCAACUCACUACCGAGUGCAACGUAAAGGACGGAGUUUUCGGUUUUCUCGUCAAGCCAUUGUCUUAACGAGCCCCAGCUCUCGUCUCCCUCGCUGUCGUUCACCUCCGUCGGAAGCAACCCUAUCGGAACGACAGGCUUUUGGUAGAGAUUUUCGAGGAGACUCAGUGAAUCACCCUCUAACUCGGCGCAGCUCCUGGUAGCUACAAAUCGGCAGCCUUCAAUCACCUUUGCCAAUCGGAAGAAAUCGGAAGCUUCCGAGUCCAUGCAGUCCUGGAUGCGGGUCACCUCGUGGAUCCUGAAAGCGACGGUGGACGGAAACGGGAUCCACUCAGGAACCACGGUUAAGUUCUCCACCUGCUGUUGACAGCGGCGGAGAAUCUCCUCCGGCGAGCCCAUGAAAGCGAGUGUGCUGGCAUUGAAAAUGCUGAAGAAGACUGAGUUGAUACCGAGUCGAGAGGCGAUUGGGGGCAACCAGUGAGGAGCAAAGUCAUAGAUGAGCCAGUUGACAUCGGAGUUGUGUAGAAACUGAGUGAGAGGGAGUUGGAGCUGGUCGUAGGCUCGUUUCAGAUAGGGGACUAGGUGGAAGGGCAACUCGGAGGUGGACUCGGCGGAGUCGGGCAAGCCAUGGACGGGAGACAGAGGCAGUGGCACCAUGGUUACAAGCGAGGAUAAAUUUGGAGCAAUUUGAGAGAGGCGACGAAGGUUUUUAGGGGUGGAGAGGAAGGAAAUGCGGUGACCCAUUUGAACUAAGUGGUUGGAGAGAUGAAGAAAAGGCAAGAAGUGGCCAAAUGCCAGCCAUGGGAACACAGCUAUGUGAAGCUUCUGAUGCUCCUUCUUCAUCUCAUCCAUGGCAAUGGGGUUGUGAGUUGUGAGAGAAAUCAAGAUUCAAGACUUCUGGGUAGCGCAGUGAUGUGAGGCUGAAAAGGAGUUGUUAUCGCCAUCCAAGGAGCACUAUACCGAACGAGGGAUGUCCCACCACAGCUUUGUUCUUUGGUGCCCAUUGUUAUUUUGGGUACCCACCCAGACUCCAGUAAUAAAGUGACACGUGUAAAGUGUAUUCAAGUAACUUAUCAAACCGACAAGAUGAAUUAUUGAUCGGAAAUAAUCACAUGCAUAUCAAUCAUAUCUACAUAUUAUAACUUUUUUAUAAUUUAUUAUUAAAUAUCAAAUAUAAUUUCUUAUUUAAUGAACAAUAAAACAUUUAUUUAAAGAAAAAAAAAAAGCUACCGAGUUACCCUUAUACUCUCACUAUUCAAACAUAUAAAAAGGGUACUAAUUUAAUAUGAAAAUUAGGUCAACUAAUGCAUUGAAAAAAAUGGGGAUGUGUUUUGAUAAAACACAUUUGAAUGUCAAGUUCAAAACUUUUUGAGGAAGAAAAGAAAAAAAUUUGUAUUCCUUGAUGAAGAUCAAGGAUUUCAAGUGAUUAUAAGUGUCAAAAGUAAUAUUUGAUUGUUUUUUUUAUUUAAAUAUGAAUUAUGUAGGUAGAAAUGUUAUGUUAAAUAAUAAAUAUGUAAUAAUUUUAUAAUUUUUUAUGAGCUUAUUAUUAAUCAAAUGAGGAUGAUUUAAUAUUAUGUUAUCAAAUUACUAUUAAUAUUUUUAUAUUAUUUUUUUUGUGUGUUGAUAGAUUAGAUUUGAAGAUGAAGUUUUAUGUCUUGCAAAGGGAAAACAAGAAUUUUUGUUUCUUAAGAAGAUAUCAUAUGAAGGAUUUCAAGUGAUUACAACUGUUAAAUGUAACAUUUGAUAUGUUUUUUUUGUUUAUUUAAAUAUAAAUUUUGAAAGUAACAAUGUCAUGUUAAAUAGCAUUUAAAUAUGCAAUGAUUCGAUUUAGAUUUUAAAUUUUUUAUGAGUUAUUAUUAAUCAAAUUGAGACAAUUUAGUCAUUUGUCAUGAAAUUGUCAUCAAUAUUUUAUAUCAUUUUUUUGUGUAUUCAUAUAUUAAAUUUGAAGAUGAAGUUUUAUAUAUCUUGAAGAAGGAAAAUAAGAAUUUUUGUUUCUCAAGAAGAUAUUAUAUUAAGGAUUCCAAGUUAUUACAAGUAUUAAAUGUAAAAUUUGAUUCUUUUUUUUUUAAUUUAAAUAUAAAUUUUGUAGGUAGAAAUGUCGUGUUAAAAAGCAAUUGUUUUAAAUAUGUGAGAGGGGAUAUGAACAAUGUGAGAGAUAGUAUAAAUAGUAUGAGAGAAGGUAUAAGCAAUGUGAGAAGGUGUACAAAAAAUGUGAAAAGGGUAUAAACAAUGUAAGACAAUGUACAAACAAUGUGAUAAGGAGUACGAAUAAUGUNNNNNNNNNNNNNNNNNNNNNNNNNNNNNNNNNNNNNNNNNNNNNNNNNNNNNNNNNNNNNNNNNNNNNNNNNNNNNNNNNNNNNNNNNNNNNNNNNNNNGAAUAAUGUGAGAGGGGGUAUAACAAUAUGAGAUGAGAUACGGACAGUGUCAGAGAAUGUACGAACAUUGUAAAAGAUGAUAUAAACAAUGUGAGAUGAAAUACGAACAGUAUGAGAGAAGGUAUGAACAUUGUAAAAGAUGAUAUAAACAAUGUGAGAUGAGAUACGAACAGUGUGAAAAAAGGUACGAGCAUUGUAAAAGAUUAUAACAAAUAAUAUGAGAGAUGGUACGAACAAUGUGAGAAAUGAUACAAACAAUGUAAGAGAGUACAAAUAAUGUGAGAUGAGGUACGAAUAAUGUGAUAAAUGAUACAAACAAUGUAAGAGAGUACAAAUAGUAUGAACAAUGUGAGAGAGGUACAAACAAUGUGAGAGAUGAUAUGAAUAUUGUAAAAGAUUGUAUGAACAUUGUGAGAGAUUGUACAAACAUUAUAAGAAAUAGUACGAACAUUGUGAGAUGGUGUACAAAUAUUGUGAGAUAGAGUAUGAAUAAUGUGAGAGAUAGUACAAACAUAAUGAGAGAUGGUACAAAGAUUGUAAUAGAGACUAUGAACAAUGUGAAAAAGGGUUGAACAUUAUGAGAUGGGGUACAAAGAAUGUGAGAGAUGAUAUGAAUAUUGUAAGAGAUUGUAUGAACAUUGUGAGAGAUUGUACAAACAUUAUAAGAAAUAAUACGAACAUUGUGAGAUAGAGUAUGAACAAUGUGAGAGAUAGUACAAACAUAAUGAGAGAUGGUACAAAGAUUGUAAUAGAGACUAUGAACAAUGUGAAAAAAGGUUGAACAUUGUGAGAGAGUGUACAAACAAUGUAAGAGGGGUAUGAACAAUUUUAUUAAACAAAUUAAAAUAAUUUAAUUAUUUGUUAUCAAAUUCAAUAUUUUUAUAUCAUUUUUUUUUUUGUAUUUAGGGAUUAUAAAAUAUUAUUAUUAUCCUUAUUAUAUAUAUAUAUAUAUAAAUGAAAGAAUUUGAGAAAUGAUAUGAAACAUGUGAAACAAGGUAUGAAAUGAUAUAAAAAUAUUUAUUUAAAAAAAAACCAAAUUGAUAACAAGUAUGACUAAAUAAUGUAAUUUUCUAACUACUUUUUCUUUUAUAUUUCAGUUCCUUCAUGGAUAUGAUAGACAAAGGCAAAGGAAAUGAAUUCAUCAUCGAUUUGAAGGAUGAAGACUUUGACUACCAAUAUGAUAGUAAUGUGAAAACUGAGUUUGAUGAAGAGUCCAUGUUAGGAAUCUUCACAUUUUUUUGUACUCUUCCCAAAAUUUCAAGUAUUUUUAUGUUUAAAUUUUUUUGUGCAUAAUUUACAUCAAUCAUAAGUGUAAUUAGUAUUUUUAAAUAAUAUCAUAACUAUUGAAAGUGGGAAAAAAUUCUUAAAAAUCAAAGAAGUCAAAAUUUUGGAGGAUACGAAAAAUGUAAGAAAUCCUUAUAUUCUUUGUACUUUCUCUUUAUUUCAUGUUUUUUUUUAAAUUUUGAUAUUUUUCUCCUAAUAUUCCUUCAUUUGUGACUCAAUUAAGCUAUUUUAUUGUUAUUUUUAAUGAAAAAUUAAAUCUUAAAAAUUUUUCAAAUAUAAAAUUUGGAGGAUAGGAAAAAAAUGUGAGAAUGUUACAAAUCAUACCCUUUUCAAUUUAAUUUUUUUAGCCAAAUAAUCUAUCAUUCUUGACUCAGUAAAGUUGUUUUAUUGUUAUUUAGAGUAAAAAAAUAAAUCCUAAAAAUGAUCAACAUGUAACAUUUUUAUGAUUUUUAUUAUAAAGUGUUACUAGGAAUACCAUCUUUUUAUGAUUCAAUUUUACAUUCGUGAAAUAAGAGUAAUAGUAUUGUUUGAUGAGUCAUGCUAAAAACGACUAAAUUAAGUUUAUAUGGUUUUUAUAAUUAUAUUCAAAUAUGUUAUAGCUAAUGUUAUAUAAAAUAUAAUGGAAUUUAAAUGUGUUGUAGUUUUAAUUUCAUAUAAUUAAUCAAAUUUUUUAUAAUUGAUCAUGGUCCAAUUACCUAAUACCUUUGUUUAACCUAUGCUCAAAAUGUUGAAUAUCAAUACAAAUAUUAAUUCCAUAUUAAAACAUCACCAUAUUCAUUUUUAUGUUCGUAAAAAUCAAUAUUCAUGAGGAGCUUACAAACUAAGUGAAUUCAAAUGUUUUACAAAUUUUAUACCAAUUUCAUUUUUAUUUUUAUCCAAUUCUAUUUUUUUUUUAUCUCAUUUAAUUAUUUCAUAUAAACCCAAAAUUGUUUGUUUAAAUACAAUUAUCCAUUAUCCAUUCAUCUUGAAACCCAUUUAUCUCAUCUCAUCAUUUCAUCUUGAAAAAUGAAUGGAACGACUGUUUCCUGCCAAAUAAUGGAUCCAAUGGCUACUAUGUGAUGAGGUGUGAUUGGAUGUUUUUGAUAUAUUCCAACGGCUACAAUGAUGAAUGUGAAGAGAAAAAAUGGAAGAAAAUGGACAAAAUGAAAUCAUGAGGGAGAGAAAGAAAGAGGAAGAAGAGACAAAUGAAGAAGAGGGAAUGGAGGAACCAGUUACUCCUUUAAUAGGUUAUCUUGUUUGUUUUUUUUUUUUUUUUAAAUUUAAAAUGGAUGGCCAAGAUCUAAUGACUAGAGAAUUUUUUUGGUACUAUAGAAUUUUCCAUCCCAUAAAUCCUAUUACUUUUCCCCCACAAUGGGUAAGCCAAGGGGAAGAAGUGUGUUUUGGUGGGAGAGUUUUGAAAAUGAAGGGAAGAAUCCUUAAAAAAAAAAAAAAUAGAAAAAUAAUUUUCUCUUUGAUUUUUACAUAAAAAUAUAUAUAAAAAAUCAAAUAUAAUAAAAAUUAAUUAAAAAUUUAUAAAUUUUUAAAUUAUUUAAUCUUUAUAGAAAAAGUAAAACGAGUUUGAAAUAUCGUAUAAAAAUAAUUUAUUAACUUUAAAUCAAUUUAUUUAUUUUUCCACUUUUUAUUUCCUUUCACUUUCUUUUUAUUUUAUUUCUCUUAUAUAUUCCCUUAAAUUUUUAUGAACCAAAUAUAACUUAAAAGCUUAAUAUAUCCCAAUAAAAAAAAUAUUAUUUGCAUUAAUAUUUAUAAUCCACCUUUAAUUUAAAAAUAUGUAAAACAAUAAUAGAUAUUUUGUGUUGGACGUCAUUUGUCUUAUCCGGGCUGAGCCGUGGAGUAUAUUUGGCUCUGUGGGAUGCUCGAGUCCGGAGACUACACGUUUCCCCACAAAGUGGCCUCCCCAGGAUUUGAACUCAAGACCUUAAGGUCUUUUGGUUUGCCCUNNNNNNNNNNNNNNNNNNNNNNNNNNNNNNNNNNNNNNNNNNNNNNNNNNNNNNNNNNNNNNAUUUUGGAAUCACAUAUUUUGGCAUAUUAAAACACAACUUUUCCCAUGGAAAAAGGCAUGAUGGUCCAAUUACCUAAUACCUUUAUUUAACCUAUGCUCAAAAUGUUGAAUAUCAAUACAAAUAUUAAUUCCAUAUUAAAACAUCACCAUAUUCAUUUUUAUGUUCGUAAAAAUCAAUAUUCAUGAGGGAGCUUACAAACUAAGUGAAUUCAAAUGUUUUACAAAUUUUAUACCAAUUUCAUUUUUAUUUUUAUCCAAUUCUAUUUAUUUUUAUCUCAUGAAGGGCAACUCGGAGGUGGACUCGACGGAGUCGGGCAAGCCAUGGACGGGAGGCAGAGGCAGUGGCACCAUGGUUACAAGUGAUGAUAAAUUUGGAGCAAUUUGAGAGAGGCGACAAAGGUUUUUAGGGGUGGAGAGAAGGGAAAUGCGGUGACCCAUUUGAACUAAGUGGUUGGAGAGAUGAAAAAAAGGCAAGAAGUGGCCAAAUGCCAGCCAUGGAAACACAGCUAUGUGAAGCUUCUGAUGCUCCUUCUUCAUCUCAUCCAUGGCAAUAGGGUUGUGAG
rnacentral:lncRNA from 1 species